rnacentral:tRNA from 1 species
GCCCGAGUGGCGGAAUGGCAGACGCGACGGAUUCAAAAUCCGUUGUCCGAAAGGGCGUGUGGGUUCGAGUCCCACCUCGGGCA